rnacentral:tRNA from 1 species
GGUACUAUAUUUUAUAUAAAAUAUUAAAUUGCAAGUUUAAAGAAAGAUUAUCUGUCUUAGUACUU